rnacentral:misc_RNA from 1 species
AGUGAGACGAGUUGGAAGAGUGAGUUGGAUGAGUGAUUGGAAGAGUGAUAGGAAGAGUUGGAUGAGUGUUAGGAAGAGUGAGUGGAAGAGUUGGACGAGUCAACGUCUCGCCGCGGCGAUAGCCACUAUUCAUUGGACUUGACCUUCUGCUGAGGCUGGAGUAUGGAACUUGCACCAUGAGUAUGAGUAUACUCGUAUGGUGCUGUACUUGAUCGCACUGUACUUGAUCUCACUGUACUCGAUCUCACUGUACUCAUUCGCCUCGUUCGUUACCCUCCGAACAAUCGCCUCUACCAUCGACCGUCUCCCGUCCCCGUCCCCGUCCCCGUCCCCGUCCCCGUCCCCGUCUACCGUCUACCGUACUUGAGCAUCUCAACAUCAGCAUCAGCAUCUUAGACCAAGAUAAACUUGUACAGUAGCUUGUAGCUAAUUUGUGGGGUAUCAAUGGAGCCAACAGUACAAUGCUCCAACGAUAGCACCACCAUUACCACCACCAUUACCAUCCUUUUCACUCUCCCUCUCCGACCGAUCCAGACCGCUACAACCACAAUAGAGCUCAUUCAACCGGCAACCCAACCAACUCAAUCCCGUGCAAAUUUGCCGCAAUUCCACCACAAACCUGUGCCAACCCCCGGAACAUGGCAGAAUGCAAGCACCUCCGCGAAAAGAAAGACUCUGUCGACCCGAACGGUUCGGAAAGUCGCCCGAGCUCGUCCAACGGCGUCUUUGAGCCGCACAAUUCGUGUCUUUCAACUCCCCAAACCCCAGAGCCCCGAGCAACUCUUGCUGUCAAGUCGGGAUCUCCAUCUCGAGUCUAACAGAGUUGCUAUGUUCCAGACCGGGUAGCGGUCCAGUGCGAUUUAUCCGCAAGUAGGUUGCUGUGAGUCAUCGCAUUUUGUUGCCAAGAUUGUUCGUUCGAGCUCUGGAGGGUAGCGGUUGGUGACUAAGCAGGGGGAGGGGUUGGGGAUAAAAGGGCCGAAACGGGUCACGGAGCAGACAUACAGACACCGCUGGAAUCAGCUCGUCCGGGGCUACGUGGUGAUAUAUGAUACUGCUGGCGGUAUUGUCGGAUCAUCGUUUUGGACGUGUUCCGAAGUAAUUGCAGGUUCGGUUCGGUUCCUAGUGCUCGGUCUGGUUGUUAAGCGACCGAUUAAGCGAUAUGAAUCGGAAAUGAAAUAAAUCACAAAAAAAGGAAUUAAAUAUUGAAAAGACAUUCGUACCAGGCUGUUUACGCAGCAAAAGUGGUGUGGUUUGGACGAGGUUGCAUUACAAGUGAAAAAGAAAUGAUUGAAGAGUCAAUUGAAAAAAGAAAUAAAUACAGAAAAUGGACAUCUGCAGUUUGUGA